AAAUAUUUUCUUUUUUUUCCCCUUCUUUUUCCCUAAAUCGAUUUCCCCACACCCCCAGAAAUCCCACUUGAAAUUUCUUCUUCUUUUUUCCCCAUUUUAUUUUCCCCAUACCAUUUCUCCCCUACCCCGAUUCCCUUUAUUUUCCCCCCCAAUUUCUCCAAAUCGGCAGCCCUCUGCAUCUCCUCAAAGGGUUGUAGCAGAAGGAGGUCUCGAACUAGCAGGUCAAGUGGUACAGAUUCAUGGAGUCCUUAUAGAUACCCCACGCCACCACAAUCUGCAUAUCCUCAACAAAAUUAUUACUACACGUCGCAACAUCCUAGUUAUGCACCACCGCCGUCAUAUAAUUAUGUAUCGCAAAUGCCUGGGUGUGUACAUAGGACUGUAGAGAGGAAAUACUCAAGGAUAUAUGAUAACUACUAGACAUUGGACCAGUAAAUUUCAUUAUGCUGUGCAGGCCAAUACUUAUGGGACAACAAUGCCACUCAAAAUGGAUCUCGAUAGCCAAAUUCUCUCGCGGGGCACAAGGCUUUGAUCUGCUUUUGUAAUUCAUCCAAAAUUCUUUUUUUUGAUAAUGUUGAACAAAUUAGUAGCAGAACCAAAAGCAUGAAGCUUUAAGCAAACGGACUAUAUCUAUACACUGGUACUGAUAUCAAGAAAAUAACAGUCAUCAAAAUCAACCACAACCAAGAUGUCCAAGCAUUAGACAGAAACGAGAAUAAGAGCUGCGAAACUGGAAUUAUACGUAUAGCACUCCAAUCACUUUUCUUGCAACAUGAUUACUCGUAUAGCACUCCAAUCAUGUAUAAUGUCAUUUUAUUUUCAUUUUCAUUGUCGAUUUUCUUUGCAAAUAUUUUUUGUUUGAACAAAAAAUCUUCAGAAAAUGGAUUUUAACGAGGCGAAGGAAGAGGAAUUUGGAUUCUCAAGAAACUAUUUCUUAGCAAAAGAAAUGGGUAGUUCUGGAAAGAAAUCUGCUCGUAAACUCAGUGAUAUCAACGUCGUUGACGAACAGGAACAUAGAGAAACUUCAGCUAAUAUUGAACCAAAGCAUCAAAACGACAUUGCAGAUUUAAUAAAUAGUUACAAAAGUUUAUACCCAAAAUGGGUUUUUGGUCUUAGCUGAAAAAGGCUUUUACAUUAAUCACCCUUGAAGUUACUUUUCUACAGUUAAGAUUUGAAACUGAAGACAAAGCAAGGAGACUUCUAAGUAAUGUGUCAUUUUUGUUGAAACCAGGGGGUUAUUUUUUCGGUACUACUAAAAAAGUGAUUGCCAGAAACUGUUGUUUCUGGAUUUGUGUAUUUUUCUUUUUUUUUUCUUGUGGUUACUGCUGCACCUGUUUCUGGGAGGUGAUUGUGUAAACAUUUUAGUGUGAUUUAGUUAUUGUAAGAAUAUUUUUAACAUUGUUAAUUUUAAUAUUAUUGUAAGAAUAUUUUGAAUUAUAAUUCAAUUAUCAAUUUAUAUCA